UGUUUAUUCUACUUCUAUUUCUUUCUACUUCCCUUCAUUCACUCUACUCUUUUCUUUCUUUUCUUUUCUUCCUCCGUCUCCUUCAUCUUCCUAUAAGUCUGCCAGCAAAACAGGAAGUUUUCCCUCUCUUUCUUCCUUCUGUAUUUCUCUCAAUCUCCUUUUACACAAUCUACUCUCUUCAUUAACUCAUUCAACAAUUCUCGACCGGGGCCACUUCUGAAAUAUUUAAUCACACCAGCUGAAACCGUCAUAGCAACAGUAUCACCAAUAACAACUAUGUCGCCCAGAUAUGAAGAAAGAUUGCAAAUAAAAGAUGCGAACUGUCUGAAGACAAUCGAUCUACUAAAAUAUUUGACUGGUAAUUAUGUUUCUGAACUUUUUCACCCGACACAAGUGGGAGAAUGAAAACCAAGAUUCACUUUCGCCUCGUGCUCAUUUUUUUUUAAAAAAAGGAACCUGUCCGACGACGUAGAACUCGUUCACCCUUUUACAGUGCCUGAAUAUAUCUCGUUCUAUGAAUCUCACUUCGAUUUUAAUCACAUUGAACUUUGUCGUGGAUAAAUGCCUGAGUUAACGAAGAACGCUGAAUCUAUUCUGAACCUUUAAGGAAGUUUAUAGUGAAUCCUUAUAUCGGAUUAAUUUUUCCUCAUAAAAGCAAACAUUUUACUUAACCUCACCACACACGCUGAUGCAAACAUUUACUUUCUACGGAUAGAUUUUGCCAUGACUCGAAGGACGAUUUCUGCAUACAAUAAUGUAAGUUCAAUCCCAGCAAUGCCAACAGCUUUUAGAAGAAAUGCAUAACAUUUAUGUGGUUCCAGUGAAUAACAGCUUAACAAAAUGGAAAAUUGUCCUUGGCUUGCAAAUGAUUUGAUCUGAGACUGUGCUGAAAUUAAAGCAAUUGCAAUGUGGAUGAUAUAUAUUAACCAUUCUUAACCAUACGUGAUGACAGAAAAUAGAAAAUGAAUGAAGAAAAAAUAGGGGUUACUUUUGAUAAUAACAAAUUUGGAAAUUGAAUUAUUGGAAUUUCAGUGACCAAGAAAUAACUAAGAAAAGGAAAUUUACUGAAAGUUUAAGUGGUGAGAAAAAAGUUAUGAAAUCAUCAUGUAAGAAAGAGAAAUUUGUUGAAAUUUAAGUUGUUGUGAAAUAAUGCAAUAUUUAAAUAGCCAUAUCCAGCCCAAAUAUUUUACCUGUUUUAUGUUCAAACAGACCAGAUCUGCCUCUCACACCUGUCAUACAAUGUCAU